rnacentral:rRNA from 1 species
UACGUAGGGUGCAAGCGUUAACCGGAAUUACUGGGCGUAAAGCGUGCGCAGGCGGUGAUGUAAGACAGUUGUGAAAUCCCCGGGCUCAACCUGGGAACUGCAUCUGUGACUGCAUCGCUGGAGUACGGUAGAGGGGGAUGGAAUUCCGCGUGUAGCAGUGAAAUGCGUAGAUAUGCGGAGGAACACCGAUGGCGAAGGCAAUCCCCUGGACCUGUACUGACGCUCAUGCACGAAAGCGUGGGGGAGCAAACAGG